UUAGGUUCUCCAGGUCACCGCCUGGUGGGUGCUGGCUCGAAGGUGACGAGCUACAAUCCCAGAGAAUCAGGGCUGACCUAAAGCUACCGAUCAGCGUGGAGGAUGCCGGACGGAGUGCUGAGGAGUUUGCAAUAGCUGAAUCAGUAUAAGGGAGUGCCACUUGUCCAUGUUGGUCAGGACACACGCUUGGACUAUCGAGUUAUUGAUGUUCGAACACUAGCAAAUCAAGCCAUUUUCCGUAUACAGCAUCAUGUUGAAAACAUUGGUAUUUGUUCUUGCCUUUAGGACUGCUGCUAUCAGUGAUGUGUUGAUGAACUGAGUUUGCAGAACUAAACACGUCAUGUUAUGUAAUUUUUUGUGUCGCUUAGCUAAGAUAUUCUACUUUGACACUGAAUUAAACAUAUCUAAUCUGGUGAACCCUUUGAGUAGUUGAGCCAAAGCAUGCCAUUGGCUGGGCUGCCGAAUUGGGAUUUCAGUGAUCCUUUUGGGUGGUUGUUUAGGUGGAGUGUGCCCGAGCAGCCACCGUAGCUACACUUAGUGGUGGACUGUCGUCGCUUGUUGUAUCGUAAUGACGUGGACGGGCGCUUCUAUAAGCGAAAAUGUACAUCUGCCCAGUUGUGGUAUCUCAUGGUUGACUUCCCUGAAAUCUGAAAUGUCCGCAACUGCUCAAAUUAAUAGGCCGGCAUCUUAAAUUUUCUUUCUCAGAUAGAUUGCUUCUUUAUUACGACUUAAUUUUGUGGUGUUGACAGAGUUUGCUGAAUAUGUAGAUUCUUAGAUGCAGCUCUUAAAUAUGGAUGAGAUACCGGAAAGGAGACUUGUGGUUCCACUUUCUCUUAUAUCCUUUUUCUCGACCUGAUUUACUUUUCUGAUAAUGCAACAAGCUGGACAAUAAUUAGAGGGCAGCAGAUGAGACUGGGUAUUGUCGUGGGAUGUGUCAGCACAUGCGUGUCUCUCCCAUUAUGACGACAUGGCUGCCUAUCUUCCCAGAAUGUAGGCCUUGAUCAAGAGGAAUGACUCCCCUCAGUUUGUUCAUUGUAGAACCAUCACUGAGCAUGACUUUUGUAAUUGAAAGGUAUGAACUCCGAGUUAUUUCUCUUCCUAAAACAGUAGAUAUUGCAAUCAGUCGAUCAUGUAAAGUGGGUCUUAAGAACCUCUGUUCAUAAAAAAAAGUUUCCUAUAGUGUUUUGCAAGAUAUAUCCAGCAGAACUUUACUGAAUCUUCUAAGCUUGAUGGCAGUGUGUAUCAGAUAUUGCAUAUAUGAUCACUUUCUGGCAAUGAUCGGCCAUGUAGAAAAACUUUAAAAGACAGGCAAAUAAAAACGACAAGCAGCAGCUAAAACGGAAAUAAGUAAAAAUACAACUUUUUCCAAGCAAGUUUCAUUUGUGCUCUCCACAGGGAUGGCUCAAACGAUAAGACAUGUUAUUCACGAUAACCCUUUUUUCGAAAUUAUAUUCCUUCUUUUAUACAGCUUAGCAUUGAUGACUCACAGUUGUACAACACUAGGUUCUGCAGUCAUGUAAGUCGGAUCAUAAGAACCUCUGUUCAUUUCAUUAGAAAAACUCAAAGUUUACAAAAAGUGUAUUGCAAGAGACCCAGUAGAACUGCAUUGAAUCUUCGAAACUUGACUGCAGAAUAUAGAGUUUUGCCUUAUAAAGUUCUCAGUCUUGGUACUUACCUUCAGCCAAUGAAGAAACUGAGUUGGAAAGUGAUCUCAACAUAAAUUAAGUGCAAAAACAUCCCGCAGUGGCACAUGAAGGGCGGCGCCGGAUCCGGCGCCGGAUCCACAUCCACAGCCACGGCGCCGGCACCCAUGGAGUGACCGUGUGCUUCUUCUCCAUGGACAUGGAGCUCCCACAACACACCAUGGAAGGCCUGGAGCUCCUUCUCACGGCAGGUGCACCGCGUACAGGAGGGAAGACCAACGCUCCUCCGGGUCUGCUUCUUCCCGGGUCGCCGUUGCUCCACGGAAGGUUAAAUGGUAACCUUACAAAUGAUCCUUCUCUUUGUAUGAUCGAUAUUAGGAGGGCUUUGCAGUUCCGGAUGUGCCGAUGAGGUAGCUUGCAUUGGCUUUGACAUAUGAGACGGCAUUGGCUUACUCUAAAUAUCUUGUGAGACUCUGAACAUCAGGACCAUGUGGACUAAACUUGCACGUGGGUGCACUAAGGAGAAGGUCCCACUCAUCAAGGGAUAACAACUAAUUGGUCGGACUUUGUGAAGACAGGGGUUGGAUAAUUUGGAGAAUGUCUUUGCGUUCAAGGCUAAAAGGGGCAAAGUGUCGCUCGUUGUCUACCUGUUUUGACAAGGUUGGUUACAAGGUUGUCAUCAUACUAUCCAUGCAAAUGUUUCCUGUGAUUUCAUCUGCUAAACAAUGAUGCAUUAGCAGAACUAUAUAGGUUCAUUGUGAGCGUUCGCUUGGACUUAUCUCACACCGUUGAUCUGGCUCGCUUUGGUUAUGUAAUAAGCCAACUAUUGUAUCUACUUAGUGUUGAUCCAUCAGCUUGGUUUACUUUUGGAACAUACUACGUAUUCCCCCAUUUGUCAUGAACUUUUA